rnacentral:lncRNA from 1 species
AAAUUUAACUUACUAUAUAUGUUCUAGGGAAAACUUCAGAUACUACCUUUGUGGUUUCACAGUUUCUCACUUUAGUACUAUGUGAUUUAAAGUGUAUCAAUUUAAUACCCCGUGGUUUCAUUUUUAUCUUUUUGUUAUAAAUUUCACUAAUUUUUUUCGUUAAAUCAGUGACAACGUCAAAACUAAAGGAUACUAAAAUGAAUAUUCAAUAAACUUAAGUGAGAUAUCUGAAGUUUUUUGUAUACAAUUUAAUAAAAUAUUAACGAAAAAGCUGAUGUACUUGAUACACUUUAAACCAUAGGGUACUAAAUGAGAAAUUACAAAACCAUAGGAGUGGUAUUUGAAGUUAAUUUAUCCUAUGUUC